rnacentral:lncRNA from 1 species
GUCCUUUCGGUCCCGGCGGCGGCAGCGCUGAGCCAGCGGCGCUCACCUUCCGGCUCUCUCUCUGCUUCUCUGCGCCUCCGCUCCGCUCUCCGCCCGCCGCCAUGACGGAACAGGCCAUCUCCUUCGCCAAGGAUUUCCUGGCCGGGGGCAUCGCCGCCGCCAUCUCCAAGACGGCCGUGGCCCCGAUCGAGCGCGUCAAGCUGCUGCUGCAGGUGCAGCACGCGAGCAAGCAGAUCGCGGCCGACAAGCAGUACAAGGGCAUCGUGGACUGCAUUGUGCGUAUCCCCAAGGAGCAGGGCGUGCUGUCCUUCUGGCGGGGCAACCUGGCCAACGUCAUCCGCUACUUCCCCACGCAAGCCCUCAACUUCGCUUUCAAGGACAAGUACAAGCAGAUCUUCCUGGGGGGCGUGGACAAGCACACGCAGUUCUGGAGGUACUUCGCAGGCAACCUGGCCUCGGGCGGCGCGGCCGGGGCCACCUCCCUGUGCUUCGUCUACCCGCUGGAUUUCGCCCGAACCCGCCUGGCGGCCGACGUGGGCAAGUCGGGCAGUGAGCGCGAGUUCAGGGGCCUGGGAGACUGUCUGGUGAAGAUCACCAAGUCCGACGGCAUCCGCGGGCUGUACCAGGGCUUCAACGUGUCGGUGCAGGGUAUCAUCAUCUACCGCGCCGCCUACUUCGGCAUCUACGACACCGCCAAGGGCAUGCUCCCCGACCCCAAGAACACGCACAUCGUGGUGAGCUGGAUGAUCGCGCAGACCGUGACGGCCGUGGCGGGCGUGGUCUCCUACCCCUUCGACACCGUGCGGCGCCGCAUGAUGAUGCAGUCGGGGCGCAAAGGAGCCGACAUCAUGUACAAGGGCACCGUGGACUGCUGGCGGAAGAUCCUCAAGGACGAGGGCGGCAAGGCCUUCUUCAAGGGCGCCUGGUCCAACGUGCUGCGCGGCAUGGGCGGCGCCUUUGUGCUGGUCCUCUACGACGAGCUCAAGAAGUUCUUCACAUGA